rnacentral:rRNA from 1 species
GCCUGGCCCUAAAUCUUGAUACUUACCCUACCGAAGUAUCCGCCAGAGAACUACGAGCACAAACGCUUAAAACUCUAAGGACUUGGCGGUGCCCUAAACCCACCUAGAGGAGCCUGUUCUGUAAUCGAUGAUCCACGAUCAACCCAACCACCCCUUGCCAAACACAGCCUACAUACCGCCGUCGCCAGCCCACCUCGAAUGAGAGCACAACAGUGGGCGCAACAGCACCCCGCUAAUAAGACAGGUCAAGGUAUAGCCUAUGGGGCGGAAGAAAUGGGCUACAUUCCCUAUACAUAGGGCAUAUACGGAAAGAAGUAUGAAACUACUUCUAGAAGGAGGAUUUAGCAGUAAAGCGGGACAAUAGAGCCCACUUUAAGCCGGCCCUAGGGCACGU